UACGUAGGGUGCAGGCGUUAAUCGGAAUUACUGGGCGUAAAGCGCGCGCAGGCGGUCUUCCAAGUCAGUGGUGAAAGCCUGGAGCUCAACUCCAGAACUGCCAUUGAAACUGUGAGACUUGAGUACGAGAGAGGUGAGUGGAAUUCCCAGUGUAGAGGUGAAAUUCGUAGAUAUUGGGAAGAACACCAGUGGCGAAGGCGGCUCACUGGCUCGUAACUGACGCUCAGGCGCGACAGCGUGGGGAUCAAACAGG
rnacentral:rRNA from 1 species